GACGGGUAGCCGGCCUGAGAGGGCGACCGGCCACACUGGGACUGAGACACGGCCCAGACUCCUACGGGAGGCAGCAGUGGGGAAUAUUGCACAAUGGGCGAAAGCCUGAUGCAGCGACGCCGCGUGAGGGAUGACGGCCUUCGGGUUGUAAACCUCUUUCAGCAGGGAAGAAGCGAAAGUGACGGUACCUGCAGAAGAAGCGCCGGCUAACUACGUGCCAGCAGCCGCGGUAAUACGUAGGGCGCAAGCGUUGUCCGGAAUUAUUGGGCGUAAAGAGCUCGUAGGCGGCUUGUCACGUCGGGUGUGAAAGCCCGGGGCUUAACCCCGGGUCUGCAUUCGAUACGGGCUAGCUAGAGUGUGGUAGGGGAGAUCGGAAUUCCUGGUGUAGCGGUGAAAUGCGCAGAUAUCAGGAGGAACACCGGUGGCGAAGGCGGAUCUCUGGGCCAUUACUGACGCUGAGGAGCGAAAGCGUGGGGAGCGAACAGGAUUAGAUACCCUGGUAGUCCACGCCGUAAACGGUGGGAACUAGGUGUUGGCGACAUUCCACGUCGUCGGUGCCGCAGCUAACGCAUUAAGUUC
rnacentral:rRNA from 4 species